rnacentral:rRNA from 1 species
AUUGAACGCUGGCGGCAGGCCUAACACAUGCAAGUCGAACGAGUGGCGGACGGGUGAGUGAUGGCUUGGAACCUGCCUGAUGGAGGGGGAUAACUACUGGAAACGGUAGCUACUACCGCAUACCAUCAGAUGUGCCGAGAUGGGAUUAGCUAGUUGGGGGGGUAACGGCUCACCAAGGCGACGAUCCCUAGCUGGUCUGAGAGGAUGACCAGCCACACUGGAACUGAGACACGGUCCAGACUCCUACGGGAGGCAGCAGUGGGGAAUAUUGCACAAUGGGCGCAAGCCUGAUGCAGCCAUGCCGCGUGUAUGAAGAAGGCCUUCGGGUUGUAAAGUACUUUCAGCGGGGAGGCGUUACCCGCAGAAGAAGCACCGGCUAACUCCGUGCCAGCAGCCGCGGUAAUAC